GUAUAAAUGUCUAUUCUGCACUAGGUACAGACAAGUCUGGUGGGAUCCAUGCCUGGUUCAUUUUAAUAAACAUGACCUUGUCCACGUUGGCCGUGGACAGGCGGCUGCGCUUGUCUGUGAUAACCUCAUGCCGAUCGCAUGUCCCCGUGAUGGAUGUCUACCCUAUCAACUUUCGAUGCAAUUUUCCGCACCUACCAUGGUGACCACGGGUAACGGGGAAUCAGGGUUCGAUUCCGGAGAGGGAGCUUGAGAAAUGGCUACCACAUCCAAGGAAGGCAGCAGGCGCGCAAAUUACCCACUCCCGACGCAGGGAGGUAGUGAUGACAAAUAACAAUACACUACUCUUUCGAGGCCCUGUAAUUGUAAUGAGUCCACUUUAAAUCCUUUAAUUUGGAUCAAUUGGAGGGAAAGUCUGGUGCAGAGCGACUGACCCAUGUGUGCUGCAGCUGAAACUCCACU